UGGACUGAGAUACAACAUUGUGGUUUUGCUUCCCAUAUAGGGAAUUGCAAUAUGUGCUAAAAAUACUGUUGAGCACAUGGAAAUACAGUGUUAUCACAUGUGGAGGGGGAGAGGGAAUGUCAGUCCUGGUAGAAGCACCCACUGAAGAGGGACAACUUAGCACUGAACAUUUUAAGGAUGAGACAUGAUCUGUUUGGAAGCAAGUCAUAAGUAAAUAAAACAUAUAAAGGAGUAACACAGCCCUGCAGAGCCAUAAGGGUGGAUCCAGAAGGUGGGACUCCAGUGAAUUCCAUGCCAAAAUGUUGACAGCAUCUGAUGCAUGCGAGAGAACAGAGACUCAGAGAAUGUAAUGCAUGCUCAGAAACGGUAAGAGCACUGAAAACCCCAGAUACUGUCCAAGAAGUGAAUAUGUGAUGAGAUUGCUUAAGCUGGCUUUCUUCAAGCAGCGAACAGGGGUUCCACACCAAAAAGGGAACAAGUCCUUACCUGGAGAUCCAGAGGAGAGCCUGCAGCAGCCUUGCUUCGGCUGAGUGUGGAUGGCACUGAGGAGGUUCUCCAAACUUCUGGAGCAGGGUCUGGUUUUGUGAGCCUGCAGCAAUUAAUGCGCAAUAGCAUUUGCCACGUGAGGAAAACAUACAGCACCGCUCCUUUCACAACUGUUUCACUUGUAAAAAUAAAAGUAAGAUUCACUAA